UGGGGAAUAUUGGACAAUGGGCGAAAGCCUGAUCCAGUCAUGCCGCGUGUGUGAUGAAGGCCUUAGGGUUGUAAAGCACUGUCGGGAGGGAAGAAAGCUUCGGCUUGACGGUACCUCGCAAGAAAGCACCGGCUAACUCCGUGCCAGCAGCCGCGGUAAUACGGGGGGUGCAAGCGUUGCUCGGAAUCACUGGGCGUAAAGCGUACGCAGGCGGCCUAUUAAGUCGGAUGUGAAAGCCCUGGGCUCAACCCGGGAAUUGCAUUCGAAACUGGUAGGCUUGAGUGUGAGAGAGGGAAGUGGAAUUCCAGGUGUAGAGGUGAAAUUCGUUGAUAUCUGGAGGAACACCGGCGGCGAAGGCGGCUUCCUGGCUCACAACUGACGCUCAUGUACGAAAGCGUGGGUAGCAAACAGG
rnacentral:rRNA from 1 species